rnacentral:rRNA from 1 species
CCUACGGGGGGCUGCAGUGGGGAAUAUUGGACAAUGGGCGAAAGCCUAAUCCAGCCAUGCCGCGUGUGUGAAGAAGGUCUUCGGAUUGUAAAGCACUUUAAGUUGGGAGGAAGGGUUGUAGAUUAAUACUCUGCAAUUUUGACGCUACCGACAGAAUAAGCACCGGCUAACUCUGUGCCAGCAGCCGCGGUAAUACAGAGGGUGUAAGCGUUAAUCGGAAUUACUGGGCGUAAAGCGCGCGUAGGUGGUUUAUUAAGUAGGAUGUGAAAUCCCCGAGCUCAACCUGGGAACUUCAUUAAAAACUGACUGACUAGAGUAUUGUAGAGGGUGGUGGAGUUUCCUGUGUAGCGGUGAAAUUCGUAGGUAUAGGAAGGGACACCAGUGGCGAAGGCGACCACCUGGACUGAUACUGACACUGAGGUGCGAAAGCGUGGGGAGCGAACAGGAUUAGAUACCCUGGUAGUC